rnacentral:rRNA from 1 species
UACGGAGGAUACGAGCGUUAUCCGGAUUUAUUGGGUUUAAAGGGUGCGUAGGCGGGAUGCCAAGUCAGCGGUAAAAAUGCGGUGCUCAACGCCGUCGAGCCGUUGAAACUGGCGUUCUUGAGUGGGCGAGAAGUAUGCGGAAUGCGUGGUGUAGCGGUGAAAUGCAUAGAUAUCACGCAGAACUCCGAUUGCGAAGGCAGCAUACCGGCGCCCUACUGACGCUGAGGCACGAAAGCGUGGGUAUCGAACAGG